AAUCUAGUAUUGACCCCCAAUCCAUAUGUGUUGAGGUGGAUUGGGGUGUAACUUAAACUAAUUUACACCCCAGUCCAGCUCAACACAUGUGGAUAAGGGUCAAUACUAGA
rnacentral:pre_miRNA from 1 species